rnacentral:rRNA from 1 species
GCCCUUUUCCGGUUGAUCCUGCCGGAGGUUACUGCUAUCGGGGUCCGAUUAAGCCAUGCGAGUUGAGAGGGGUAAGCCCUCGGCAUACUGCUCAGUAACACGCGGACAACCUGCCCUUGGGUCUGGGAUAACCCCGGGAAACUGGGACUAAUACCGGAUAGAUCAGAGAUACUGGAAUGUUCUCUGGUCCAAAACUCCGGUGCCCAAGGAUGGGUCUGCGGCCUAUCAGGUAGUAGUGGGUGUAACGUACCUACUAGCCAGCGACGGGUAAGGGUUGUGAGAGCAAGAUCCCUGAGAUGGAUUCUGAGACAUGAAUCCAGGCCCUACGGGGUGCAGCAGGCGCGAAAACUUUACACUGCGGGAAACCGCGAUAAGGGGACCCCGAGUGCCAGCACCUAGUGCUGGCUGUCCUACUGUCUAAAUAACAGUGGUUAGCAAGGGCCGGGCAAGACCGGUGCCAGCCGCCGCGGUAACACCGGCGGCCCGAGUGGUAACCGUCAUUAUUGGGUUUAAAGGGUCCGUAGCCGGCUUAUUAAGUCUUUUGGGAAAUCUGGCGACUCAAUCGUCAGGCGUCCAAGAGAUACUGGUAGGCUUGGGACCGGGAGAGGUGGGAGGUACUCCAGGGGUAGGGGUGAAAUCUCGUAAUCCUUGGGGGACCACCGAUGGCGAAGGCAUCCCACCAGAACGGGUCCGACGGUGAGGGACGAAAGCUGGGGGCACGAACCGGAUUAGAUACCCGGGUAGUCCCAGCUGUAAACGAUGCUCGCUAGGUGUCAGGUGCGGUGCGACCGCAUCUGGUGCCGCAGUGAAAACUUGAAGCGAGUCACCUGGGAAGUACGGUCGCAAGGCUGAAACUUAAAGGAAUUGGCGGG